rnacentral:rRNA from 1 species
GUGGGGAAUAUUGGACAAUGGGCGAAAGCCUGACCCAGCCAUGCCGCGUGUGUGAAGAAGGUCUUCGGAUUGUAAAGCACUUUAAGUUGGGAGGAAGGGCAGUAAGUUAAUACCUUGCUGUUUUGACGUUACCGACAGAAUAAGCACCGGCUAACUUCGUGCCAGCAGCCGCGGUAAUACGAAGGGUGCAAGCGUUAAUCGGAAUUACUGGGCGUAAAGCGCGCGUAGGUGGUUUUGUAAGUUGGAGGUGAAAUCCCCGGGCUCAACCUGGGAACUGCCUCCAAAACUGCAUGACUAGAGUACGGUAGAGGGUAGUGGAAUUUCCUGUGUAGCGGUGAAAUGCGUAGAUAUAGGAAGGAACACCAGUGGCGAAGGCGACUACCUGGACUGAUACUGACACUGAGGUGCGAAAGCGUGGGGAGCAAACAGGAUUAGAAACCCCAGUAGUCC